GAAAGAAAAGAUUCGUCGUCCAUCCGGAUCUGGAAUAAUUUAUCAACAAACGCAAGAGUUGAUGCCGAUGAUGUGCGACGCCUAACAACCCUGAAUCGUUCCCCGAGGAAUAAUUAGCCGCCGCAAGGUGCAUCCCCCUCAAUUGCUACCGCUGCUGCUUCUACUUCCCGUGAGUGCGAACAAUGAUGGUGUCGGUGGAGGUGAUGAAGAGGAAAAGAACGACCUUGACGGUGAGCCCUAGGAAGUUCGGAAGGAGAAUGUGCCACCAAUGCAGGAAGGCACGCGUUUCCACCAUUCUGUGCUCCAGUUGCAGGAGCAGAAGCUACUGCGCCUCUUGCAUCCGGCUCUGGUAUCCGCAUAUGCCCGAUGAUAUGGUAGCAAAGGCCUGUCCUUUCUGCCGUGAAAGAUGCAAUUGUCUUAUUUGCUUGAGGGAGAGUAGCUCGUCUUUGGUUUUAACCAAUGAUGUGGGCAAAUCUGACAAGAUUAAAUAUGCUGGUUACAUGUUGCACUAUCUACUGCCUGGUCUAAAACAAUUGAACCAAGAACAGUUUAUGGAGAUGAAGAUAGAGGCCAAGAUCAGAGGAAUUCAAAUGUGUGACCUGCAACCAGAUUAUGCAAUUUGUGGAAGGGAUGAACGGAUUUUCUGCGACAAUUGUAGAACUUCCAUCUUCGACCUUCACAGAAGUUGUUCAAGUUGUUCAUAUGACUUGUGUCUUGGAUGUUGUCGCGAUAUCCGUGAUAAUAACCUUCAAGCAUCGGGUGAGCAAAUGACAUUCAAUUUUCUUAACAGAGGUCAAGAUUACAUGCAUGGUGGGCAGCCACAAAAUUUCACUAAUAAAAAAGAGGAUAGCUUGCUUAAUGAUUCUGAUCAUUUUACUAGCUGGAAAGUGAAUGCAAGUGGAAUCAUUCCGUGUCCUCAUACAUUGGUUGGUGGAUGUGGUGCUUCUCAUCUUGAAUUGAAACACCUGUUUCCUAAGAAUUUCUUGGUUGAUUUGGAACUGCAAGCAGAGGAAUCAAUCAAAAUCUUUGGUCCAACCCAGACAUAUAAUUCUAUUGAAAAAGUCGAGAGUGAGUGUGCAUGUUCCACAACAAAAAAUUCAAGGAGAGCUUCUUUCAGAAGGAAUGAUAUGGAUAAUUACUUAUAUAGUCCAUUGGCAAGUGAUAUUAAGAAUGGUGAUCAAAAGCACUUCCGGAGGCAUUGGCUCAACGGAGAACCAGUCAUUAUUAGGGGAGUGCUUGAGGAAUCACGUUUGAUCUGGGAGCCAUCACAUAUGUGGAGUACAAUGUUUAAGAGUAAUAUUCCAACUGAUUUAUCACGUGUACGGGCUACUGAUUGUUUAGCUUGCUGCGAGGUAGAAAUAGAUCCUCAGCUAUUUUUCAAAGGAUACACAAAGGGAAGGGUGUAUAGUAAUAUGUGGCCUGAGAUGCUCAAAUUGAAGGAUUGGCCAACUUCCAGCAAUUUGGAGGAUUUGUUACCAAGCCAUGGAAUUGAGUAUAUUAAUGUGUUACCUCUUCAAGAAUAUACAAAUCCACAUAAUGGUCCAUUGAACGUUGCUGCUGCACUUCCCAAAGAUGUAUUAAAGUUGGAUGUGGGACCAAAAUCAUACAUUGCAUAUGGAAUUGAAGAAGAGCUUGAGAGGGGAGAUUCUGUAACCAAGAUUCACUGUGAUGUCUCUGAUGCAGUAAAUAUAUUAAUGCACACUAGUGAAGUAAUACUUUCUCGGAAGCAAAAAGCUGCAAUAAAAGUUCUAAAGAGAAGGCACAAAGCUCAAGAUUUAAUGGAGCAACUUCAAGAUGUUAAUGUUGAUGAGGCUGAAAUGAAUCAAGAUUGGAGAGAAGAGAUAGACUGUAUAGUUCCAGAGCUGACAGAUGAUUUAAAGGGUUCAAUAGAAAAUGCAGGAGCUUUAUGGGAUAUCUUUAGGAGAGAAGAUGUUCCUGCUUUACAAGCUUACCUCAAGAAUCAUUCAAAAGAAUUCCGACAUGUUUAUUGUUCUCCAGUUGAACAGGUAUUUAAUCCCAUCCAUGAUGAAACAUUUUACCUGACUAGAAAACACAAAAGGAAGCUCAAGGAGGAAUUUGGAAUUGAACCAUGGACUUUCACACAACAACUUGGUGAAGCUGUUUUUAUUCCUGCUGGAUGUCCUCACCAAGUGAGAAAUUUGAAGGUACAAAGUCCUGUACCAAGAUUGCAAUAGACUUUGUUUCACCAGAAAAUAUUGAUCAGUGCAUCCAUUUAACUGAGGACUUCAGAUUGCUUCCGAAAAAUCACAGAGCCAAAGAAGACAAACUAGAGACUUGCUUGAUCACUAUCAAAUCUGGUUAUGAUGUACAUUAUCUCAAGACUAAAGGUUGUGACACUGGAAAAUCACCAUCUGUGUGACCACUUGGUAAAGACUUCUAUCCCUCUAACAACGCUCCUACCCAGCCAAAUCAUUUGGCAGUCUCUCAUUGGUCAACUGACAGCUGUAGCAGUGUGAUACUGAUCUUAAACUGUCGUGUGCUCAUAGGUGAAAAAGAUGAUAGUCCAUGCGACUGAGAAAGCUGUUCGCACUUUGCAAGAACUGUCGCCUUACCCAACAUGAGAUUUUUGGCAUUCUUGAUGGAAGCCAGACAGAAGCUGAGGACCCAAAGGAAGGGCUACAGAUACAGACACAGAUACAGACGAGCAACAGGGAGUAAAAUUUUCUAUAAAUUUAAACCAAUGUUAGAAUAGAUUUUCUUUCACAUUUUUAUAAUCAUAUCUUAGGAGGGACUUUGAUUAAGUAGUUUGAAAGAUAAUCUAGCUGUUCUUGAUUUAGUCGUGAAGGAUUGGUUGGUUGUUUCUCAAAGCUGAUCAGAAUUAAAAGUUUUAAGGUCCAGUUACUAGUUUAAAUAAACAAUUUCAUUGUUAUCAUUGGCAAAAAGGUGGAAUCGCCAUCCUAGCCCUGACCCAAUAAAAUUUCAGAGGAAGUAAAUCACGGUUAAUGCUGG